rnacentral:ncRNA from 1 species
UGUAGCCAUCGGGCCGUCCGCUUAGCGGACGGCGCCGAUUCCGG